CAGUAGCCGCGGUAAUACGAGGGGGGCAAGCGUUGUUCGGAAUUAUUGGGCGUAAAGGGCGCGUAGGCGGUUUGGCAAGUUUGGUGUGAAAUCUUCGGGCUCAACUCGAAGUCUGCAUCGAAAACUGCCGGGCUUGAGUAUGGGAGAGGUGAGUGGAAUUUCCGGUGUAGCGGUGAAAUGCGUAGAUAUCGGAAGGAACACCUGUGGCGAAAGCGGCUCACUGGACCAUUACUGACGCUGAGGCGCGAAAGCUAGGGGAGCAAACAGGAUUAGAUACCCCUGUAGUCCCUGUCUCUUAUAC
rnacentral:rRNA from 1 species